AUGUGUGAGCUGUCGUCAAUAUGUUCAAAGUCAGCAGUUACGGAAAGGAAGCCUACGGGGGCGCCAGCAGACCCGGCACUCGUGGAGGAGACUCGCCCCCCCCCGCCCCCCCCCCCCAAGUUGGUGCAGAGACGACUGCAGGAGAGUAGCCAGGAGGCUGAAUUCAUUCUUGCUGCCUCUUUUCAAUUCGCAGUUCAGUGUCAGCGUCUCAGUCUGGCAGAUCAGAAAGCUGCUGAGGAUGUUUGGCAUGAGUUUCCACAGGGAAGACUGGAGUCACUGAGAAGCCACAUUCUAAUCCCUUCAGGGCCUCCCAGUGGAAAAGCGACAGAACCCAAAGUCACCGUGGAAGUGGGACCCACGGCGGUAGGACACUGGCACCUGCCCACCUGGCCGCGUGAGAAUCGUGAAGUGACGACACCUCUGGAGGCCUCGAUUUCUCUGUCACCCUCAACACUAAGAGUUUUGGCCCUGGUCCUCUUGCUGAGUCAACGAGAAAGUCUUCAUGGAAAUGAAAACGAGGAGAUGAGUAAGAGAUGUUGAGAUGCCAGCAGCCGGACCACAACUGGUGAGAAGCCAGCCCGGGAGAGGGAAUUAACAUGGGAACAGGUGCAGGCGGGAGAGGUAGGGGUGGGGGGUGGAGGCAGAGACAGUGAGACCCAAUGGUGUUCAAGUUUCCAUCCUAUUUCUUAAGCCUAGCACAUCUGUUAUUACCAUUUUUUUUGUUAUAUAAGUGAAGAAGUUAAAAUGGUGGGAUUUAAAAAAAAAAAAAAGGGAGAAUCACCACAGUCCUGAAAUUUGGCUGUACAGACAUGAAAUGCUUUUUUAACUCUAUACUGAAAUCAACCCAAAUCUAGAACCUCUAUAUCCAGGAAUAAGGGUAAACCUUAUCUUGCUUUUUCAAGUAGCUCAUUCAACUAGUCACUCCUGGGUAAAUGCUCAGUCCGAAAUUCAGGGUUCUCCCCUUCACUCUUUGUCAAUCCCACUCUUGGGGAUGAACGAAGGUGCUGGAGAAUCAGGGUACUAAAAGGUAAUUUUUAAAAAUGUGACUCAUAUGAAUAUAAGAUGAAUUCGUGUCCAAGAUUUUAUGUUAUUGAUUAUUUCAUGAAGACACUGGUAAGAGGUAAAAACUGGUUCAAAGGAGAUCACAAGGAAAAACACAUCUAUAGGCAACCCGGAAUCUGAAUUGAAUUUGCUGAGAGAGGCAAAACUGGCCUCUUCCGCUAAGUAGAAACCGAGGCCUCCUCCCUGGACAAAACGCACCUGCGAUUCUUUCUUUCUUUCUUUCUCUUUCUUUCUUUCUUUCUUUCUUUCUUUCUUUCUUUCUUUCUUUCUACACACCUGCGUUUCUAAGAAUGGGAUUAUUCGCAUCAUCAUCAGCCUUUUGCAAGUUACCUUUAGUUUCUAUAGACUUGCGGAAUAGUCCAGGACAGUGAAAGACACAGAGCCUUGUGGAAUCCAGGUAACCCGGGAAGUUUCCAGAGAUUUUGCCUAGAAUUCCGUCUGUACAGUCUAAUCCUCUACACAGGCUCUACAGACUGGCUUACGUACAAGUGACUCUGAAUAACUGAACCUGAGACAGUUCCUGCCAAACGACACAAUUGCUGCCAAACUAAAAAUAUUCCUCCGUUUUCAUACAGUCCCCAAGCUCAAGUCAUGGGCAUCGUGACAACACAAUAACCACCCGAAUUUCUGGGUUUCUCCAUUGAUUUUCAUUGCGGCAGGUUAGCCAGGCACAUUGGUUAGCCCUGCCACAGCCCUUGGCUCCCCACCUUGAGAUGCGUGUGCAGGUGGAGGGCUAGCUCAGGAACUAGGGUUCUGUGAGAGGAGGGACGAGGUUUCAGAUUUCAAACUCAGAUAGACUUCUAGCCCCAAGAAGGAAAGCCUGAAAAUCAUGGAAAAAACACCCUUAAAAACCAGCACCCCUGUGGUCUGGCUCCCACCUGCCUCUUCCACACAUUGUGCUUCCAUUUGAAUAUUUCAUCCUGACUUUCCGUGUUAGGAAGCAUGCUGCAUCAUUUUUGGUCCAGAAAAGAUCAAAAAAUGAAAAUAUGCAUGAUCUGAUGGGAUUUCUCCUGAGAACUCAUGGUGGAUUUACUUACUCCCAAUGGAGAGAAAAAUUGGUCAAAUAAGGCAAAUUGAACACUUCACAAGCAGGCGCAAGAUCAGCCUCUUAGCUUCCCACCUCGUGGCUGUGACAGAGGUGGGGACAGAGGCUGAGGGUCAGUAACUGCAAAGGCAAAGCCAAAUGGAGGUGCCGUGCAGACCCAGAUGGAGGGGCGCCAGAUAGAAUUGUAGACCUCAGAGCCGCAACUACAGGAGCUGUCCGGGUGUGCACGUUUGGUUUACUUUGUCUCUUGUUUUGGGAUGGCCCCCUGGGCUUAAAUGCCAAAGUUGGUACAGCACCGGGUCCAUUGUCACCCGUCUCGUCAUCAGUGUUGGGCUAAACACAAGCUGACUGUCAUCUUGGCGUCCUACGUCCUCUAGUCCAUGGAAUUGCAUGUUUAAACGGCCAUGCUUUGAAUCUCGAUUCUACACUGUGGAGAGUUCAAGAUUUCUGCAAACCCCAAGCUGCAUCCAUUGCUGGCUCGUUGCUCAGAUUGCCUGCUUCCAUUAAACUCUCAAUCCACUGCACGUUCCACUUCUACGGUUCUUCUCUUCUCUCCAUCCUUUGUUACCUCACGAGGGAAACACAGCACACACUUCUCUGAUUUCCUCACCAGUGCAGGAAGUUCAUAUGUAACAGGCAUUUAUCAAAGUUUAAGGUAACAUAGGAUGCCAAACAGCACAGCAGAUGAUUUAAGCUAAAACAUGCCUCGUCUUGAACACCCUUGGGGGGACACCUGAGUGGCUCAGUGGGUUGAGCGUCCAACUCUUGAUUUCAUCUUGGGUCAUGAUCUCAGGGUCGUGGGAUCAAGGCCUGUGUCAGGCUCUGCACUCAGCACAGAGUCGGCUUGAGAUUCUCUCUCUCCUUUCCCCUCUGCUCCUCCCGCUGCCCAAGCUCUCUCUCU
rnacentral:lncRNA from 1 species